AUUGAACGCUGGCGGCAGGCUUAACACAUGCAAGUCGAGCGAGCGGCGGACGUGUGAGUAAUGUCUGGGAAACUGCCUGAUGGAGGGGGAUAACUACUGGAAACGGUAGCUACUACCGCCUACCCUCAGCUGUGCCCAGAUGGGAUUAGCUAGUGGGUGGGGUAAUGGCUCACCUAGGCGACGAUCCCUAGUUGGUCUGAGAGGAUGACCAGCAACACUGGAACUGAGCCACGGUCCAGACUCCUACGGGAGGCAGCAGUGGGGAAUAUUGCACAAUGGGCGAAAGCCUGAUGCAGCCAUGCCGCGUGUGUGAAGAAGGCCUUCGGGUUGUAAAGCACUUUCAGCGAGGAGGCGUUACUAGCAGAAGAAGCACCGGCUAACUCCGUGCCAGCAGCCGCGGUAAUUC
rnacentral:rRNA from 1 species